rnacentral:rRNA from 1 species
ACGGAGGAUGCAAGCGUUAUCCGGAUUUAUUGGGUUUAAAGGGUGCGUAGGCGGCACGCCAAGUCAGCGGUGAAAUUUCCGGGCUCAACCCGGACUGUGCCGUUGAAACUGGCGAGCUAGAGUGCACAAGAGGCAGGCGGAAUGCGUGGUGUAGCGGUGAAAUGCAUAGAUAUCACGCAGAACCCCGAUUGCGAAGGCAGCCUGCUAGGGUGCGACAGACGCUGAGGCACGAAAGCGUGGGUAUCGAACAG